rnacentral:rRNA from 1 species
UGGGGAAUAUUGCACAAUGGAGGGAACUCUGAUGCAGCGACGCCGCGUGAACGAAGAAGGCUUUCGAGUCGUAAAGUUCUUUUAUAUGGGAAGAUAAUGACGGUACCAUUAGAAAAAGCCCCGGCUAACUACGUGCCAGCAGCCGCGGUAAUACGUAGGGGGCUAGCGUUGUCCGGAAUCACUGGGCGUAAAGGGUUCGCAGGCGGAAAUGCAAGUCAGGUGUAAAAGGCAGUAGCUUAACUACUGUAAGCAUUUGAAACUGCAUAUCUUGAGAAGAGUAGAGGUAAGUGGAAUUUUUAGUGUAGCGGUGAAAUGCGUAGAUAUUAAAAAGAAUACCGGUGGCGAAGGCGACUUACUGGGCUCAUUCUGACGCUGAGGAACGAAAGCGUGGGUAGCAAACAGG